GAUGAACGCUGGCGGCGUGCCUAACACAUGCAAGUCGAACGGACAGGCCCUGCGCUUGCGCCGCGCUCGUGUGCGGAGCGGGGGAGAAUAACACGUGUAUCCCCCCCCUAUAAUUGGGAUAUCUCUUCGAAACUCGGGCUCUUAUCCCGUAUAAUCUCUUGCACCACGUUGUGCGUUGGAAAGAUUCGGUGUUUCGGGAUGGACUCGCGGCUUAUCAGCUUGUUGGUGGGGUAGUGGCUUACCAAGGCUUUGACGGGUAGCCGGCCUGAGAGGGUGACCGGCCACAUUGGGACUGAGAUACGGCCCAGACUCCUACGGGAGGCAGCAGUGGGGAAUAUUGCACAAUGGGCGGAAGCCUGAUGCAGCAACGCCGCGUGCGGGAUGACGGCCUUCGGGUUGUAAACCGCUUUCGCCUGUGACGAAGCGUGAGUGACGGUAAUGGGUAAAGAAGCACCGGCUAACUACGUG
rnacentral:rRNA from 1 species